rnacentral:ncRNA from 1 species
UAUGUUUUAUAUAAUUUAUUAUAAAUUUAUUUUACAUAUAAAUUUUAGUGUAUAAUUUUAAUUAUUUUAAAAAUAAUUAUUAAUUUUUAUAGUAAAUAAAAUUAAAAAUUUAAGAAAUUAAGAUUUAGUAAUAUGAAAAUUAAUAGCUAAUUUUGUGCCAGCAGUUGCGGUUAUACAAAAGUUAAAUUAAAUUAUUUCAGUGUUUAAUAAAUAAAAUAUAAUUAAAAUAAAUAUUAAAUUAUUAGGUAAAAUUUUAAUUUAAUUAAAUUUUAAAUUAAUUUUAUGAUUUAAUAAAUUUAUUAAUAAACUAGGAUUAGAUACCCUAUUAUUAAAAAUUUAAUUUAAAAAUACUAAAAUAGUAUAUAAAAAAUAUUGAAACUUAAAUAAUAUGGCGGUAUUUUAGUUCAUUUAGAGGAAUCUGUUUAAUAAUUGAUAAUCCACGAAUAAAUUUACUUAAUUUAAAAUUUUAUAUAUCGUUAUUGAAAAAAUAUUUUAUAAUAAAAAUAAUAUUUUAAAAUUUAAAAUAAAAAUUAAUUUAAAUCAAGAUGUAGAUUAUAAUUAAGAAUAUAAUGGAUUACAAUAAAAUAAUUUAGACAGAUAAUUUAAUUGAAAAAUUAAUUUAAAGGUGGAUUUAAAUGUAAUUUUAAUUAAUUUAUAAAAAUGAUUAAAAAUUAAAAUAUGUACAUAUUGCCCGUCACUUUCAUUUGAAAAUUGAAAUAAGUCGUAACAAAGUAGAGGUACUGGAAAGUGUUUCUAGAAUGAA